CCUACGGGUCGCACCAGUAGGGAAUCUUCGGCAAUGGACGAAAGUCUGACCGAGCAACGCCGCGUGAGUGAAGAAGGUUUUCGGAUCGUAAAACUCUGUUGUUAGAGAAGAACAAGGGUGAGAGUAACUGUUCACCCCUUGACGGUAUCUAACCAGAAAGCCACGGCUAACUACGUGCCAGCAGCCGCGGUAAUACGUAGGUGGCAAGCGUUGUCCGGAUUUAUUGGGCGUAAAGCGAGCGCAGGCGGUUUCUUAAGUCUGAUGUGAAAGCCCCCGGCUCAACCGGGGAGGGUCAUUGGAAACUGGGAGACUUGAGUGCAGAAGAGGAGAGUGGAAUUCCAUGUGUAGCGGUGAAAUGCGUAGAUAUAUGGAGGAACACCAGUGGCGAAGGCGGCUCUCUGGUCUGUAACUGACGCUGAGGCUCGAAAGCGUGGGGAGCAAACAGGAUUAGAUACCCGUGUAGUC
rnacentral:rRNA from 1 species